rnacentral:rRNA from 1 species
GUGGGGAAUAUUGGGCAAUGGGGGCAACCCUGACCCAGCGACGCCGCGUGGGUGAAGAAAUCCCUCGGGAUGUAAAGCCCUGUUGUAUGGGAAGAGCAGAAGACGGUACCAUACGAGGAAGCCCCGGCAAACUACGUGCCAGCAGCCGCGGUAAUACGUAGGGGGCAAGCGUUGUCCGGAAUUACUGGGCGUAAAGCGCACGCAGGCUGAAUUAUAAGUCGGUAGUCAAAUACGGAGGCUCAACUUCCGGAUAUCUAUCGAUACUGUAAAUCUAGAGUAUGUGAGAGGGAAGCGGAAUUCCCGGUGUAGCGGUGAAAUGCGUAGAUAUUAGGAGGAACACCAGUGGCGAAAGCGGCUUUCUGGACGACAACUGACGCUGAGGCGCGAAAGCCAGGGGAGCAAACGGGAUUAGAUACCCUAGUAGUCC